rnacentral:lncRNA from 10 species
UGGGCAUCAUGCGGGCACCGUCAGGGGGGAUGGGGUGUGUUUCAGAGGAAAAGCAUCAGGGCUGUGGAAGAAUUGCGCGCUUUCAUGAGAACAACAAAACUAAAGCCGUGGUCAUGUUUUAAGUGUGAUGUUUGGUUUUAUUUUUCCAGCGUGUGAGCUAAUGAACUAGCUGAGGAGUGAGCCUGCCUCUCCCCGUGAAGACGCCAUGCAGCGCAGGCUGAUUUACAGACUCGUACCCGGGCGCUGGGGAGGGGAUAGGGAAGCUGGCCGCAGGCCUGUCUCCGCUCCUGUCCUCACACACACAGUCCUCACCCACAGCCUCCCUGGGCCCUGAGGACGGAGCGGGUUACACAGGCUCCCUGGAAUGUUGGCUGCCCCCAGGAGUAGCCGCCUGUUCUUGGGAAUUCUGUGCUGACCGCGGCAGCCCCGCAGGGGCCCGGGGUUGCGGGUGGAUGGGGUGGGCUGGGCACUGACCGAGGAGCUUUGCCUGCGACCCAGGUGGAGGUGGCCUUUGAGCAGUGAGGCCCCAGGGUCCUGCAGGGUGGGGUCUAGGGCAGCCAGGGGUCCCUGGUGGGGCCUUGUGGCUCUGGGGGCAGAAGAGGAGGUGCAGCGGGGGAGGUCAGAGGAGGCGCAGGCUGGGCAGGGGCAGGUGGGAGCCUGGACGGAAGCUCAGCCUCCAGUUUGGAGGCCAGCCCACAUGGUCCUAAUGUCCUGAGGGCUCAAGGACCACAGAACUGGAGGCCAAGCUGGCACAUCUGGGGCCAAGGGGAUACCCCACCAGCAUCCUGGGCCAUCAGGCCAUAUACCUGCUGCCACAGCAGCUACUAGAGUGGGGACGAGCUGGGCCCAGUUUCCAUGGAGACCUCAGAUGAGGCCACAUUUCCCGGACUCCUCGAGAAGGGGCUAAUAAGGAGGAAUCUAGAGCCACUCCAAUCCCCUGGAUGCUGAGAGCAGGCUCUCUGGGAAGAAGUGAGCAUUCUAAGGGUCCGCAAUCUCUCUGAACCCUUAUGCAGCAAAGGGGUCUGCGUGGGGAUGGGGCCAGGGUUGGGGGAGCCAGUGUGGGGCUGAGGACACCUGAGCCAGCCCUGGUCCAGUGAGGCGGAGCGUGUGGCGUGGGAGGGUGGUGCUGGGAGUCACCUUCUGGCUUUGCAGCUUUCCUGUGGUCCUGAACGGCCACAUAGCCCCUCGGAGCCUUGGUGGCUCAUCUGCAGAGUGGGAGCACCUUCCUACAUUAUUACGAGGAUUCCCCGGGAACACGUCCACGCUGAGGAACUGAAGUUGCUAAUCACGUCCUGGAGGUGGGGAGAGAGGGCCCUGUGCAGAUCCUGGGCUGGAGAUAAUUUGGGAGGAGGUAAGUCCCCAAGUGGGGGCUGGAGGUGCUCUAGGAGAGGUGGGUCCAGCCCCUGGGGCUCCCAGUCUCAAGGGAUACCUGGACCCAGGCCUGCUGGGCACGUGCGGGAGCCUGAGGUGAACGCACUGUGUGGGCUGGGAGGGGCCCGGUGCAGCCGGAUUCCAGGGUGCUGACCAGGGAUCUGCGACUCACACCCAGACUCAAGAGGGGCUGGUUCAGUCAUGGUCCAGAGGGAAUGUCCUUCCAUCACCAGCCAUGGAGGCCGGAGUCAGAAAUCAAAGAAAACACUCUCAGAUGCCUUGGUCUGUGGCUAAGAAUUGCACUGUGGACUUGGAUGUGUGGCGUUGGUGGCAGUAGAAUCGACAGACAUUUCUCUUGGGCUCACGAGAGGCUGGACAGGCCUCAAAGCACUGGGUUCUCAUAUUUUACAGACCAGCAAACAGAGGCGUAGGGAUGUUCAGAGAUGGCCUUGGCAGCACAGUGGGGUGGCUAGCGGGGCUCAGCCCAGGCUGUGGGCUCCAAAGCCCCCACUCUAGCACCCCUGGCACAUGCUCCUGGAUGGCAGCCAGGCCUGGCACUCAGCGGAAGCUCGGAAACCUGUUGAGGGGUGAAGCCUGGGUUCCUUCCUCAGAGGGAUCCUCUGGAGCGGGACUUGCUCAGGACAGAGGCGGGUGAACUGCCUUGGAUGGGGCCGGUGUGAAGCUUUCUGGUUGCUGAAGACCUGGGUCCUGUGGGGAGACAGGGCUGCAGGCUGCUGGGUGGGGCUGUAAGAAGCCUCUCCACCCACCCAGGGUGCACCCUCCUAAUAUCCAGGGACACCCAUGGGGCCGGCUUUUCUGAAGCUCCGAGUGAGGGUUGCAUCGUCCCGGUCUGAGGUGCACGGCCUUGAGCAACUGGCUGAUGAUCAAGGACGGGGAGGGGGUCAAGUUUUGGGCAGUCUUCCAUUUUAGGGUCAAUUUAGCUUCCACAGCGGGCACAAGGCGAGCUGAGGGGAUGGUUGUGUUAUCUGUGGGUGCACCUGCAGCAUUGAGGAAGCUGGAGUGGGAGGGGAGGUGGCCUGCGGAAAGGCCUGGACCUGCCCCUCACCUGGCGUCUGGCCUUGCUUCCUUGCUUUCCGGGGUCUCCUCACUGCAGCUGAGCAGGGAAUGGGUAGCAGCAGCAGCUCUCGAGUGCCAGUGCGUGAACCGUUGGGGAGGUUUCCCAAAAAUGCACGUUCCUCGGCCUUCUCCCCAGAGACCCGGCCCGCCUGCCUGGGCAUGUAGAGACCUUGCCUUUCCAGCUGCCUCCCAGGGGAGCCUCAUGCUCCAGACCAAGGGUCACAACUUUGACAGCACAUGACCGGGUCACC